rnacentral:sRNA from 1 species
UAAAACCAAGAGCAGCUGUUUCUCGGCUA